AGUGAACGCUGGCGGUAGGCCUAACACAUGCAAGUCGAACGGCAGCACAGUAAGAGCUUGCUCUUACGGGUGGCGAGUGGCGGACGGGUGAGGAAUACAUCGGAAUCUACUUUUUCGUGGGGGAUAACGUAGGGAAACUUACGCUAAGACCGCAUACGACCUACGGGUGAAAGCAGGGGAUCUUCGGACCUUGCGCGAUUGAAUGAGCCGAUGUCGGAUUAGCUAGUUGGCUGGGUAAAGGCCCAGCAAGGCGACGAUCCGUGGCUGGACUGUGAGGAUGGUCGGCCACACUGGAACUGAGACACGGUCCAGACUCCUACGGGAGGCAGCAGUGGGGAAUAUUGGACAAUGGGCGCAAGCCUGAUCCAGCCAUACCGCGUGGGUGAAGAAGGCCUUCGGGUUGUAAAGACCUUUUGUUGGGAAAGAAAAGCAGCAGGUUAAUACCCCGCUGUUCUGACGGUACCCAAAGAAUAAGCACCGGCUAACUUCGUG
rnacentral:rRNA from 1 species